GAUGAACGCUGGCGGCGUGCCUAAUACAUGCAAGUCGAGCGAACGGACGAGAAGCUUGCUUCUCUGACGUUAGCGGCGGACGGGUGAGUAACACGUGGAUAACCUACCUAUAAGACUGGGAUAACUUCGGGAAACCGGAGCUAAUACCGGAUAAUAUUUUGAACCGCAUGGUUCAAUAGUGAAAGACGGUCUUGCUGUCACUUAUAGAUGGAUCCGCGCUGCAUUAGCUAGUUGGUAAGGUAACGGCUUACCAAGGCAACGAUGCAUAGCCGACCUGAGAGGGUGAUCGGCCACCCUGGAACUGAGACACGGUCCAGACUCCUACGGGAGGCAGCAGUAGGGAAUCUUCCGCAAUGGGCGAAAGCCUGACGGAGCAACGCCGCGUGAGUGAUGAAGGUCUUCGGAUCGUAAAACUCUGUUAUUAGGGAAGAACAUAUGUGUAAGUAACUGUGCACUUCUUGACGGUACCUAAUCAGAAAGCCACGGCUAACUACGUG
rnacentral:rRNA from 1 species